rnacentral:misc_RNA from 1 species
GAUGAAGAACGUAGCGAAAUGCGAUAAGUAAUGUGAAUUGCAGAAUUCAGUGAAUCAUCGAAUCUUUGAACGCACCUUGCGCUCCUUGGUAUUCCGAGGAGCUUGCCUGUUUGAGUGUCAUUAAUAUAUCAACCUUCUCUUUUUUGAGUUGUUUGGAUGUGGGGGUUUGCUGGCCUCUUAAAUGAUUCAGCUCCCCUGAAAUGCAUUAGCAGAACAACCUGUUCAUUGGCGUGAUAAUUAUCUAUGCUAUUGAAUGUGAGGGCAGUUCAGCUUUCUAACCGUCCUUGGACAAUUCAUCAUUAAUGUGACCUCAAAUCAGGUAGGACUACCCGCUGAACUUAAGCAUAUCAAUAAGCGGAGGA